rnacentral:rRNA from 1 species
UGGGGAAUAUUGGACAAUGGGCGAAAAGCCUGAUCCAGCAAUGCCGCGUGUGUGAAGAAGGUCUUCGGAUUGUAAAGCACUUUCGACGGGGACGAUGAUGACGGUACCCGUAGAAGAAGCCCGGCUAACUUCGCGCCAG